rnacentral:rRNA from 1 species
CACGCCGUAAACGAUGAGUGCUAGGUGUCGGGUGUCAAAGCUCGGUGCCGGAGCUAACGCAUUAAGCACUCCGCCUGGGGAGUACGUUCGCAAGAAUGAAACUCAAAGGAAUUGACGGGGACCCGCACAAGCAGCGGAGCAUGUGGUUUAAUUCGAAGCAACGCGAAGAACCUUACCAGGGCUUGACAUACUUUUGCAGGGUCUAGAGAUAGACCUGUUCUCUUUUGAGACGAAAGUACAGGUGG